rnacentral:rRNA from 1 species
CCUACGGGGGGCAGCAGUGGGGAAGAUUGCACAAUGGGGGAAACCCUGAUGCAGCGACGCCGCGUGAGUGAGGAAGAAUUUCGGUAUGUAAAGCUCUAUCAGCAGGGAAGAAAAUGACGGUACGUGACUAAGAAGCCGCGGCUAACUACGGGCCAGCAGCCUCGGUAAUACGUAGGGGGCAAGCGUGAUCCGGAUUGACUGGGUGUAAAGGGAGCGUAGCCGGCUACUCAAGUCAGAAGUGAAAACCCAGGGCUCACCCUUGGGACUGCUUUUGAAACUGAGUAGCUAGAGUGCAGGAGAGGUAAGCGUAAUUCCUAGUGUCGCGUUUAAAUGCGUAGAUAUUAGGAGGAACACCAGUGGCGAAGGCGGCUUACUGGACUGUAACUGACGUUGCGGCUCGCAAGCGUGGGGAGCAAACAGGAUUAGAUACCCCAGUAGUC